ensembl:snoRNA
GGGGUGCGCUCAGAGCAGGAGCCUGAAGAAAUGGUUCCUCUGUUUAUAACACACCUGACAGGCAUCUGGGUUCAUUGUGACAAGGGGCACAAAACUUGUAGCCUUCCUAUGAACAAAUACCCUACACAU